GAUCAACGCUGGCGGCGUGCCUCAGACAUGCAAGUCGAACGCGAAAGUCCCUCGGGGACGAAGUAGAGUGGCGCACGGGUGGAGUAACACGUAGGUAAUCUACCUUCGGAGUGGGAAGUAACAACCGGAAACGGUUGCUAAUACCGCAUAAUGCAGCGGCACCUAAUGGUGACAGUUGUUAAAGACGGGGGAGUCAAAGACCUCGCGUCUGAAGAGGAGCCUG
rnacentral:rRNA from 1 species